rnacentral:misc_RNA from 1 species
UUAUAGUCAUUAGACUUUGCGCUCAGACAUUAUAAUUCUACUUUUCAGGUAAAGAGUUUUAUUUUGGUGCCGUCGGCAGGCUGACCGCCCCCUGGUUAAAGGUGGCGAGCUGCCGAAGCAACCGGGGUUUUUCACAAAGGGUUUAGGCGUCGGGCACAACCACCCGAAAGGGCGGACGGCCGUGGCCACCGGUCCCCGAGAGGACCGACAUUUUUUGUAAUGAUCCUUCCGCAGGUUCACCUACGGAAA